rnacentral:rRNA from 1 species
UACGAAGGGGGCUAGCGUUGCUCGGAAUCACUGGGCGUAAAGCGCACGUAGGCGGCUUUCUAAGUCAGGGGUGAAAUCCUGGAGCUCAACUCCAGAACUGCCUUUGAUACUGGAGAGCUUGAGUUCGGGAGAGGUGAGUGGAACUGCGAGUGUAGAGGUGAAAUUCGUAGAUAUCGUGUGGAACGCCAAAGGUGAAAACAGACAGCUGGGAGUGUGCUGACGCUGAGACACGAAAGCCAGGGGAGCGAACGGG